rnacentral:rRNA from 1 species
GCCCUUAGAGUUUGAUCCUGGCUCAGGAUGAACGCUGGCGGUAUGCUUUACACAUGCAAGUCGUACGAGAGUUUUUAACUCAAGUGGCGGACGGGUGAGUAACACGUAAGAAUUUGCCUUUAGGAGGGGGAUAACAACUGGAAACGGUUGCUAAUACCCCAUAUGCUUUCGAGUAAAAUGGAUUUUCCGCCUAAAGAGAAGCUUGCGGCUGAUUAGCUUGUUGGUGAGGUAAUGGCUCACCAAGGCGACGAUCAGUAUCUGGUUUGAGAGGACGAUCAGACACACUGGAACUGAGACACGGUCCAGACUCCUACGGGAGGCAGCAGUGGGGAAUUUUCCGCAAUGGGCGAAAGCCUGACGGAGCAAUACCGCGUGAGGGACGACGGCCUAUGGGUUGUAAACCUCUUUUUUCAGGGAGGAAUCAAUGACGUGUACCUGAAGAAUAAGCAUCGGCUAACUCCGUGCCAGCAGCCGCGGUAAGACGGAGGAUGCAAGUGUUAUCCGGAAUCACUGGGCGUAAAGCGUCUGUAGGUGGUCAAAUAAGUCAACUGUUAAAUCUUGAGGCUCAACCUCAAAAUCGCAGUCGAAACUAUUCGGCUAGAGUAUAGUAGGGGUAAAGGGAAUUUCCAGUGGAGCGGUGAAAUGCGUAGAGAUUGGAAAGAACACCGAUGGCGAAGGCACUUUACUGGGCUAUUACUAACACUGAGAGACGAAAGCUAGGGUAGCAAAUGGGAUUAGAUACCCCAGUAGUCCUAGCCGUAAACAAUGGAUACUAGAUGUUGAACAGAUCGACCUGUGCAGUAUCAAAGCUAACGCGUUAAGUAUCCCGCCUGGGAAGUAUGCUCGCAAGAGUGAAACUCAAAUGAAUUGACGGGGAAGGGC